CAGCUGCUAAUACUGGAUACGAACUGCGAUCGCAUGGUCGGCAGUUGGAAAGAAUUUCGGUCAGGGAUGAGCUCGCGGCCUAUCAGCUUGUUGGUGAGGUAAUGGCUCACCAAGGCGUCGACGGGUAGCCGGCCUGAGAGGGUGACCGGCCACACUGGGACUGAGACACGGCCCAGACUCCUACGGGAGGCAGCAGUGGGGAAUAUUGCACAAUGGGCGGAAGCCUGAUGCAGCAACGCCGCGUGAGGGAUGACGGCCUUCGGGUUGUAAACCUCUUUUAGCAGGGAAGAAGCGAAAGUGACGGUACCUGCAGAAAAAGCGCCGGCUAACUACGUGCCAGCA
rnacentral:rRNA from 1 species